rnacentral:rRNA from 1 species
UUCCUGAGCCUUGUACACACCGCCCGUCAAGCCACCCGAAUUGGUCGCGCCCGAAGUAGUAGUUCCAACCCGCAAGGGAGGGACGCUCCGAAGGUGAAGCCGGUAAGGGGGACU